GCAAGCUCAAGCAAGGUCCCACCGAAUUGGACAAAAGAGGGAUGUACUUGUUCUACGGUUGGAGACAGUACAUACUGUUGAAGAACAAGUAAGGGCUGCCGCAGAACACAAACUCGGUGUUGCUAAUCUGAGCAUCACUACAGGAUUCUUUGACAAUAACACAAGAUAAAGGAAAUGAAAAGUUAUAGCAAAGGAAGACGACAAGGAGG